rnacentral:rRNA from 1 species
UACGGGGGGGGCAAGCGUUGUUCGGAAUUACUGGGCGUAAAGGGCUCGUAGGCGGCCAACUAAGUCGGACGUGAAAUCCCUCGGCUUAACCGGGGAACUGCGUCUGAUACUGGAUGGCUUGAGUUUGGGAGAGGGACGCGGAAUUCCAGGUGUAGCGGUGAAAUGCGCAGAUAUCGGGAGGAACACCAGUAGCGAAGGCGGCUCGCUGGGCCACACCUGACGCUGAGACGCGAAAGCGUGGGGAGCGAACAGG